rnacentral:tRNA from 1 species
GCGUCGGUGGUUCAGUGGUAGAAUGCUCGCCUGCCACACGGGGUCCCGGGUUCGAUUCCCGGCCGACGCA